ACGCUCGACACCUACGGGGGCAGCAGUGGGGAAUAUUGCACAAUGGGGGAAACCCUGAUGCAGCGACGCCGCGUGAAGGAAGAAGUAUUUCGGUAUGUAAACUUCUAUCAGCAGGGAAGAAAAUGACGGUACCUGACUAAGAAGCCCCGGCUAACUACGUGCCAGCAGCCGCGGUAACCUGAGGCGGGCUGGCAAGGC
rnacentral:rRNA from 1 species